rnacentral:tRNA from 1 species
GCGCUCGUAGCUCAACUGGAUAGAGCAGGCGGCUUCUACCCGCCAGGUUGGGGGUUCGAGUCCUCCCGGGCGCA